AUGUUAUGUUUUUAUUUUUUCUUUCAUUAUACAUACUUGUCUUUGCUUAUAAUAUAAACAUCAAUGUCAUAUUGUUUUUCAUUUCAUUCACAUAUCAUAUACAUUAAUUUAACACAAGUCAGGAUUUAUAAUUAUAUAUUAAUAGUAAAAUUCACCAGAUAUUUAAAUAUUUAAAUACAAGACUGAAAAAGGAAUCUAUUUUCAAUUUUGUUUUAUUUGCAUAUUUUUUCACAUAAAGGAAUUCAGGAAUCCAUCAGUUUUCAGCCAGUUUAGAAUUAUAACUUCAGGUUUAAGAAAAGGUCAUUCAUUUAUAUGGACUUACAGGUAAGAAUAAUUGUGAAUUUCUAUGAGCAACUCAAAUAACAGUUUAUGUAGUCACAUCACUUUUUAUUAAGUAUAAAUAUUCAAAUGGGAUAGUAAUUUAAAACAUUUCUAACAGUAGAAACAAUUUUUCAGCUUCAUAAAUUACCAAGGGAUGCCAUUUCUAGUUGAGGAUAGUCCAGUGAAAACAUUAGCAUACAAGUUUGUUUUUAGACCAUACAUAAGAACACACAAAAAUUAAUUCACUGUGACAUAAUAUUCUUCUGUUUAGGAGUUUGCAAUAUUCAAAGAAAAGGAACAAAUUGUAUUCCAAGGACAUCUCAUGAAAAAUUAGAAGGAGUAUAAGUAGUCAAAACUAAGGAAAUAAUUACAAAAACUACAGCAUAUCAACUAUGGAAUAUUAGGCAGCCAUUGAAAUUUAAAAACUAUAUAGCAUAUUAAAAAGUAUCUAUGCUCUUGAGUAAAGAAAGAAAACUUAUAAAAGCUGAAUAUAGCCAGGUGUGAUGGUGCAUGCCUGUACUCCCAGCUGCUUGGGAGGCUGAGGUGGGAGAAUCCACUUGAACCUGGGAAGUUGAGGUGACAAUGAGUCAUGGUCACGCCACUGCACUCCAGAAUCCACUUGAACCUGGGAAGUUGAGAUGACAAUGAGUCAUGGUCACGCCACUGCACUCCAGCCUGGGUGACAAAGCAAGACCCUGUCUCAAAAAACAAAAUAAAAACAAACAAGCAAAAAAGUAAAAAAAAAAAAAUUGAACAAAUGCAAGGAUCUUAACUGUAUGUUUAAAAUACAGUUGUUGCCCAGGCGUGGUGGCUCACGCCUGUAAUCCCAGCACUUUGGGAGGCCGAGGUGGGCAGAUCACGAGGUCAGGAGAUCGAGACCAUCCUGGCUAACGUGGUGAAACCCCGUCUCUACUAAAAAUACAGAAACAAACGUAGCCGGGCGUGGUGGCGGAUGCCUGUAGUCCUAGCUACUUGGGAGGCUGAGGCGGGAGAAUGGCGUGAACCCGGGAGGUGGAGCUUGCAGUGAGCCGAGAUCACGCCACCGCACCCCAGCCUAGGUGACAGAGCGAGACUCCAUCUAAAAAAUAAAAUAAAUAAAUAAAUAAAUAGAAGUGUCCUUGGCCAAGUAAAAAAUGAAAUUAUUACUUAUAGAGUGGUGAGAUCCUUAGAGAAUUCUUCAUUCUCCAAAUUUACGGGGGUAGUAAUAAUAACAGUCACAAAAAUACCUUGAAUAUCUGCUUUUGUGCCAGGACCUAUACUAAAUACUUUAUAUACAUAAUUUCUAAUCUUUGCAAAAAUCACUGUCAGUGCUUCUCAAGCUUUAGUGAACAUCAGAAGGGCUUGUUAAAACACAGAUUGCAGGCCUACCUGCCAGACUUUCUGAUUCAGUAGGUCUGGGAUAGAUUUCAGAAUUUGAAUUUCUAACGAGUUCCUAGGAAUUUUGAUGCUGUUGGUUAAGGUCCACACUUUGAGAAUCUCUGAUUUAUAACAUAGGCAUAUUCCCCAUGUUGUAAAUGGGGAAAUGAGGAGUCAGCAGUUAAAUAACAAAGCUAGUAAGCUAUAGAGAGAGGAUUUACCACAAGUUUAUUUAACUCUGAA
rnacentral:lncRNA from 10 species